rnacentral:rRNA from 1 species
UCCGCAGGCGGGCAAUUAAGUCAGGGGUGAAAUGGUGCGGCUCAACCGUAGCACUGCCCUUGAUACUGGUUGUCUUGAGUCAUAGUGAAGUGGCCGGAAUAUGUAGUGUAGCGGUGAAAUGCAUAGAUAUUACAUAGAACACCGAUUGCGAAGGCAGGUCACUAACUAUGUACUGACGCUGAUGGACGAAAGCGUGGGGAGCAAACAGGAUUAGAUACCCUGGUAGUCC